CUUAGACUUUUUUUUUCUUUUUCAAAUUCAGAUGGUGAGAACUGGUCUGAAUGUACAAUUCAGUCUUACUGUUUUCCAUCAAGGUGUCACCAAUCUUCCAGUCUCCCAGGCAGAAGUUUUUGAGAGCUUCAACCAGCACUACUACUUGAGGACCUAUGCAGUGUUUGUCCAUGAGCAUGGAAUGACUCAUACUGGCCUCAGAGUUAGGGACUCACUUUAAAGGAAAGGGGAUGCAGUAGUGGGCACAUGACUAAGAAAUCCACCGAUCCUCUCAUAUACUGCACCACCAGAAGCUGCUGGAUUAGCAGAGCAAAGGUCACAGAACGUUUUCCUGAAUCGGAUUCUGGGUUAAAGCUGCCAGUAGGAAGAAUUCACAUGAGAUUUCAAAGGUGGAAGAGAAGGAGAAGGUGUUUUUUUCUUGCAACAGUUUGGCUGGGGAGCUGAGAUCUUCACUGAGGGCUUCCUUUGGCUCCGGGUUCCCGUGGACAGGCAGCCGAUGUCAUCAGUGGUGGCUUCUCUGUGAUCACUAUACCACCAGGUCUCCUAAAGUGGCCUUCUUGACCUUUGCCUCCCCAGCUCUUUCAAUGGUUAUGUGAAACUCUAAUUAUGUACAUUAAAUAUCUUUCAGCUCAUAAUACAUAGAGUCAUUUCCCUCCCC
rnacentral:lncRNA from 10 species